ensembl:rRNA 5S_rRNA 5S ribosomal RNA
AUCUAUGGUCCUACCACCAUGAACGCACCCCAUCUCGUCUGAUCUCAGAAGCUAAGCAGGGUUGGGCCUGGUUAGUACUUGGAUGGGAGACUGACGAGAAAAACCAGGUGAUGUAGGCU